rnacentral:rRNA from 1 species
AGUGACGAUAGCCUAGGAGAUACACCUGUACCCAUGCCGAAUACAGAAGUUAAGCCCUAGAACGCCGGAAGUAGUUGGGGGUUGCCCCCUGUGAGAUAGGGAAGUCGCUUAGCU